rnacentral:miRNA from 1 species
CCUCCUUCUGUUCGACCAAUU